CAGUCGCCGCGGGAAUACGAAGGGUGCAAGCGUUACUCGGAAUUACUGGGCGUAAAGCGUGCGUAGGUGGUGGUUUAAGUCCGUUGUGAAAGCCCCGGGCUCAACCUGGGAAUUGCGAUGGAUACUGGGCGACUAGAGUGCGGUAGAGGAUAGUGGAAUUUCCGGUGUAGCAGUGAAAUGCGUAGAGAUCGGAAGGAACAUCUGUGGCGAAGGCGACUAUCUGGGCCAACACUGACACUGAGACACGAAAGCGUGGGGAGCAAACAGGAUUAGAUACCCCCGUAGUCCCUGUCUCUUAUAC
rnacentral:rRNA from 1 species